UACGUAGGGUGCAAGCGUUGUCCGGAAUUAUUGGGCGUAAAGAGCUCGUAGGCGGUCUGUCGCGUCUGCUGUGAAAACUCGGGGCUUAACCCCGGGCCUGCAGUGGGUACGGGCAGACUAGAGUGCGGUAGGGGAGACUGGAAUUCCUGGUGUAGCGGUGAAAUGCGCAGAUAUCAGGAGGAACACCGGUGGCGAAGGCGGCUCACUGGUCCGGUACUGACGCUGAGGUGCGAAAGCGUGGGGAGCAAACAGG
rnacentral:rRNA from 1 species